GAUGAACGCUAGCGGCAGGCUUAAUACAUGCAAGUCGUGGGGCAGCAUGAGUAGCAAUACUUGAUGGCGACCGGCAAACGGGUGAGGAACACGUACACAACCUUCCUUCAAGCGGGGAAUAGCCCAGAGAAAUUUGGAUUAAUACCCCAUAAUAUAUUUGAUAAGGCAUCUUAUUAAUAUUAAAGCUUCGGCACUUGAUGAUGGGUGUGCGGCUGAUUAGAUAGUUGGCGGGGUAACGGCCCACCAAGUCUACGAUCAGUAGCUGAUGUGAGAGCAUGAUCAGCCACACGGGCACUGAGACACGGGCCCGACUCCUACGGGAGGCAGCAGUAAGGAAUAUUGGACAAUGGACGAAAGUCUGAUCCAGCCAUGCCGCGUGAAGGAUUAAGGUCCUCUGGAUUGUAAACUUCUUUUAUAUGGGACGAAAAAGGGCAUUCUUGUUCACUUGACAGUACCAUAUGAAUAAGCACCGGCUAACUCCGUGCCAG
rnacentral:rRNA from 1 species